UACGUAGGGUGCGAGCGUUGUUCGGAUUCACUGGGCGUAAAGGGUGCGUAGGCGGUCGGGUAAGUCUGAUGUGAAAUCUCACAGCUUAACUGUGAAACUGCAUUGGAUACUAUCCGGCUCGAGGAAUGGAGGGGAGACUGGAAUACUUGGUGUAGCAGUGAAAUGCGUAGAUAUCAAGUGGAACACCAGUGGCGAAGGCGAGUCUCUGGACAUUUCCUGACGCUGAGGCACGAAAGCCAGGGGAGCAAACGGG
rnacentral:rRNA from 1 species